UUUAUGUUGCUUUGACACCUUGCAAAAGUUGGCAAUCAACUGCAAUGACAAGCUUUAUGACAUUCAGAACCUAGAGGGAUUCACGUCUUGCGCGAGUUUAUGGAUUGAAGAUUGCAAGACCUUAGCAAAAUUCCCAAACUUGUCAAAUUUUCCUAAGUUACAGAAAUUGUUCCUGUCUAAUUGUCAUGAACUUCGGGAGAUCGCGGGGCUUGAGGAGUCGACAUCUCUAAAACAUAUUGCCAUCUCAGGAUGUUCCUCGAUUGAGAUCUUACCAGAUUUGUCAUCGUGUAACAACUUGAUCAGUCUGGUUGUGCAAAAUUGUGAAAAGUUGACUGAGCUUCGAGGGCUCCAGAAUUUGGACCACUUAAUGGAACUGGACAUUUCUGGAUGCAUGUCACUUAAAAGAAUACCAGAAUUGUCUGGAACGCGACUUUAUCGAAGUUACGAGAAAAUGCCGUUUGCCUCAAUCGUGGAACGAUAGAACUUGGAGAAAUUGACUGGGAUGAGUCAGAAUAGUUCAGAUGAUCCACAUUUCCUAACAACGGUACAUAAAGCAGGAAUCCGCGGGAGAUGUUCGGGGGAAGUUUAUGUGUACUCUGGCAAAAUGUUUCUGCUGGUCAUGCCAGUAAUGGAAAUAGAUCAAUAGGCCUUCUAAGUGCAUCAUUUGCCAUUAGUCUUCAGGAUAUGGUUAUUAUUGUGCUGAUUGUGAAGUAAACGCUGAAAUAUCGAAAAGAGCUUCCGAAAGGCACUUCUAAAAGGAAACAAAGUCAUCAGAGGAUCAGAAGCUUAAUUUCUUGGACUUUUCCUAAUUGCUGACGAUGAACCCUUCGAACUGUAAAGGAUGUUUGCACUGUUAUCCCACAUUGCCCUGAUUACGUUCAACAGAGGCAUGGCAGAGCUAAAACUGUCAGUUAACUUACGAGUGAUAGAGAACCUUAGGUGGCACCAACGCCUCGGAUUGUGCCCGGUAGGCCUAAAGAGAUAAGGAUAACAGAGGAAGGAGAAUCUAAAUAUGGAUUCAAAGAGUCAAGCCAAGGCACAGAAAUCGCAUGUCAUUUGUGCUUCAAGCAAGGCCAUGACUCAAGAUAUUGUCCAUUGAAUCAGAAGAAAAAAGGAUGAAGUAGUCAGACAAAGAGAAGCCAACCAACUUGUCGCAGAGAUGCAUCAUAACAGCGCCACCGCUCAAAAGCAGCAAAGGAAGACAGUAUGAAAAAGAAGCAAGAGAAAUGGAAACAAGUGGUGGAGCAUCUGAAGGACGGCAUUGGAACUGUUGGAUCAACAAGAUCUCCAAGAAAGGGGAAAAAUCGACCAGAAGUAGCUCUGUAAAGAAUUGGAAGUCUGAUAUGUUCUAAUAAUUUUUGUUGAUGUGAUAAUCUUCAUUUUAAAGAGACGGAAUUUGUUUUCUGUAUUUGCUGCAAGAUGUGGCAAUGAUACUGUUGAGACCACAGGCAUUCUGGGCUACAGUUUAUUGUGCUUGGCAGUACGUUUGAUAUUUGAAGAGAAGUGCAGUUGGCCUUAUUUC